UACGGAGGGUGCAAGCGUUAUCCGGAUUCACUGGGUUUAAAGGGUGCGUAGGCGGAUUAGUAAGUCCGUGGUGAAAUCUCCAAGCUUAACUUGGAAACUGCCGUGGAUACUAUUAGUCUUGAAUGUUGUGGAGGUUAGCGGAAUAUGUCAUGUAGCGGUGAAAUGCAUAGAUAUGACAUAGAACACCAAAUUGCGAAGGCAGCUGGCUACACAAAUAUUGACGCUGAUGCACGAAAAGCGUGGGGGAUCAAAACAGG
rnacentral:rRNA from 1 species